rnacentral:lncRNA from 1 species
UCAUUUUCUUCUCUUCUUUCUCUCUUCUCUCCGAUUCUCUCUCUAUUCUCUCAACCCCUUCUCCCUCCGGCCACCCAUGUUCUUCACCCCCACCGUCCAAACCAUCGCCUUCUUCAGUUUUCCGAUUGAACUUCAACCGAAAAAUUCAAACACUCAAACUCCUUAUCCCCAGAACCUUCAAACCAAGCCCAUAAACCUUCAUAACCCCUCGAACCCCAUGAACCUUAACUGGGUUCGGAUGAACCCUAACAUUUUCCAGAUGAACCCUAACCCUACCCUAACCCUAA